UACGAAGGGGGCUAGCGUUGCUCGGAAUCACUGGGCGUAAAGGGUGCGUAGGCGGAUUUCUAAGUCAGGGGUGAAAGCCUGAGGCUCAACCUCAGAACUGCCUUUGAUACUGGAAGUCUUGAGACCGGAAGAGGUAAGUGGAACUGCGAGUGUAGAGGUGAAAUUCGUAGAUAUUCGCAAGAACACCAGUGGCGAAGGCGGCUUACUGGUCCGGUUCUGACGCUAAGACGCGAAAGCGUGGGGAGCAAACAGG
rnacentral:rRNA from 1 species